rnacentral:tRNA from 1 species
GUGGCUAUAGCUCAAUUGGUUAGAGCAUCGGUUUGUGGAACCGAGGGUUGUGGGUUCAAGUCCCAUUAGCCACCCCA